rnacentral:lncRNA from 1 species
CUGUUGUAGCAGCAUAUCACCUUGCUGUGGCAGCAUUUUAAGCAUUUAUUGAUGAUGCAUUUUAUAACAUGUCUCACAAUAAGUUAUUAAAGGAUGUAGUGGCACCAACUAAUCAUUUCAUAAACAUGAAUAAACCAUUUAUACAGGGCACCUUAAUUUAAAGUGCUUGUAGAAACUUGCAUAAAAUGUUUUGAACAGCUGACAUGCAGUAUUGGUUCUUCUUCUAGUGCCAAAGUGGUGUCACGUCUUGGUAAUAAGUAAGAGUCUUCUGUGGAGCUGGAGCGUUAUUGCUUCCAGUGAUAGAGCUUGGAACUGCACAAUUCCAAACACAAAAUGCUGGAAAUUGCUUUCAAAAGAGAAUAUGAGGAUUUCCUUUCUUUUCGUCUCUCCUCCAAUUCCAAUACCCACCAUACCCUCAAUUUCCAAGACUUUAAGAGCCUGUCUUCUCAAGAAUCAGAGCUGAAUGGCCAGAAAUGAGCCAGCCUGUAUUUCUUAGGAGAAGGCAAUCUGACCUUCAGUUAAAGCAGUGUAACUUGGUAUGAAGACAUGGCCUUAAACUUCCUACGGCCCAGUAUCUCCAUGCCAACGACAGACAUGAUCCAAGUCUGUUGCAAUCUGAGGGAAACUCCUGCUGGCUUCAGUGAUUCAAGCCCAGUGGCUUUUCUGGGUCCUUCUAUUUAUACAAUGUUAAUUUCUUAGCUCACACAAACUUAUUUGCCGAAGAAGACACAGCGUAUAUUCUUUCUUACAGCGGAGGGAGAUUGCUGGGAUGAAUACAUUUGGAUAAUCUGAUUGUUCUUUCUUUGGUUUGAUCCAUCUUAAACAUUACAUUUGAGAUUAUUACUCUUCUCUACAGUGCCCGUAGCACUUGUGAUGCUCUAAUUUCUCAUGCUGCAGAAGUAGGACAGCUUUCUUGAAAUGUAAGGGCACUCCAGAAAGCUGAUGAAUUAGUUGAUGAGUCACUCAGGAAACAAGCAUUUAGGGCCACACAUGAGAUGUCAAUAGAAGUUCAAAAACACUAAUAUGAAAUGGAUAGGGACUGAUUCUUUGUGAUUACACAUGACAGUCAUUAU